rnacentral:rRNA from 1 species
GAUGAACGCUAGCGGCAGGCUUAAUACAUGCAAGUCGAGGGACAGCACAGGUAGCAAUACUGGGUGGUAACCGGCAAACGGGUGCGGAACACGUACACAACCUUCCUUUAAGUGGGGGAUAGCCCAGAGCAAUUUGGAUUAAUACCACGUAAUAUAGUUGGAUGGCAUCAUUUGAUUAUUAUAGCUGCGGCGCUUAAUGAUGGGUGUGCGGCUGAUUAGAUAGUUGGCGGGGUAACGGCCGACCAAGUCUACGAUCAGUAGCUGAUGUGAGAGCAUGAUCAGCCACACGGGCACUGAGACACGGGCCCGACUCCUACGAGAGGCAGCAGUAAGGAAUAUUGGUCAAUGGACGCAAGUCUGAACCAGCCAUGCCGCGUGAAGGAUUAAGGUCCUCUGGAUUGUAAACUUCUUUUAUUUGGGACGAAAAAGGGCCUUUCUAGGUCAACUGACGGUACCAGAUGAAUAAGCACCGGCUAACUCCGUGCCAGCCGCCGCCGUAAGAC